CCUACGGGAGGCAGCAGUGGGGAAUAUUGGACAAUGGGGGAAACCCUGAUGCAGCGACGCCGCGUGAGGGAAGAAGUAAUUCGGUAUGUAAAGCUCUAUCAGCAGGGAAGAAAAUGACGGUACCUGAGUUAGAAGCCCCGGCUAACUACGUGCCAGCAGCCGCGGUAAUACGUAGGGGGCAAGCGUUAUCCGGAUUUACUGGGUGUAAAGGGGGCGUAGACGGCAGUGCAAGUCUGGAGUGAAAGGCGCGGGCUCAACCCCCGGACUGCUCUUGAAACUGUACGGCUGGAGUGCAGGAGAGGUAAGUGGAAUUCCUAGUGUAGCGGUGAAAUGCGUAGAUAUUAGGAGGAACACCAGUGGCGAAGGCGGCUUACUGGACUGUAACUGACGGUGAGGCGCGAAAGCGUGGGGAGCAAACAGGAUUAGAUACCCCGGUAGUC
rnacentral:rRNA from 1 species